GCUCAAUAAUGCAUUUUUCGGUAAAACCAUGGAAAAUGUGCGGAAACGUGUCAAAAUUGUCCUUGUAAACAACAGUAGAGGUCAUUUUUGGCAGACCUCCAAACCUACUUUUAAGCGUUUUCAGAUUUUUAAUGAAAGCCUUGUAGGUGUUGAGCUUGCACAAACAAAUUUGACGCUUGAUAAACCAAUUUAUGUUGGUUUUACUGUGCUGGAGUUAUCAAAACUCCUAAUGUUUAAGUUUCAUUACACGGUCAUGCAAGCCAACUUUGACAAACUGGAACUAUGCUUCACUGACACAGACAGUUUCCUUUACCACAUUUACUGCAAGAACCUGUACUUGGAACACCUGGAGAGGCUAAAGAAUCACUUUGACUUCUCAAAGUAUCCUAGAGAUCAUCCGCUGUAUUCAGAUACAAACAGAGCAGUAGUUGGAAAAUUCAAAGACGAAACUAAUGGAGUAGCAAUCGUUGAGUUCAUAGGGCUUCGCUCAAAGUGUUACUCUAUUCUAACUGGAGCUGGAAAGCAAAAGAGCACGGCUGCUGGUGUGAAACACAAUGUCCGUAACCGAAAACUGAACCAUGAUCUCUAUAGACAAGUCUUGUUCAACACAAUGAGAAAUCCUGAUACAGAAGAUUCUGACACAGAAGAUCACUUUAUAGAGCAAAAGACUUUUCGAUCACAGAAACAUGUGAUUUUCACCAUAAAUCAGAGAAAAGUUGGACUAACAAGAUAUGAUGACAAACGAUAUAUUUUGUCAGAUGGGGUAUCAACACGUGCACAUGGAAAUUUUAAAAAUGUGCAAGGUGGCUGAUGCUUUAAAUUUCAUUUUUGGUUCAAUCUUUCUUUUUUUUUUUUUUUUUAGUUUUAAUUGAUUUUGUAACUUGUAUAUAUUGUAAUGUUAGAUAUUCAAUUUAUUUAAUAAUUUGUUUAUGAAA